rnacentral:rRNA from 1 species
GACGAACGCUGGCGGCGUGCUUAACACAUGCAAGUCGAGCGGAAAGGCCCUUUCGGGGGUACUCGAGCGGCGAACGGGUGAGUAACACGUGAGUAAUCUGCCCUUGGCUUUGGGAUAAGCCCCGGAAACGGGGUCUAAUACCGGAUACGACCAAUCACUGCAUGGUGUGUUGGUGGAAAGUUUUUUCGGCCAGGGAUGUGCUCGCGGCCUAUCAGCUUGUUGGUGGGGUAAUGGCCUACCAAGGCUUCGACGGGUAGCCGGCCUGAGAGGGUGACCGGCCACACUGGGACUGAGACACGGACCCGACUCCUACGGGAGGCAGCAGUAAGGAAUAUUGGACAAUGGACGGAAGUCUGAUCCAGCCAUGCCGCGUGAAGGAAGAAGGCGCUCAGCGUUGUAAACUUCUUUUGGGUGGGAACAAAAUGCGGGAUUUAUCCUGUACUGAGGGUACCAUCAGAAUAAGCACCGGCUAACUCCGUGCCAGCAGCCGCCGUAAUAC